AACAAACGCUGGCGGCGUGCCUAAUACAUGCAAGUCGAACGGGGAAAGCUUUCGGGUGAGUACUAGUGGCGCACGGGUGAGGAACGCGUGGAUAAUCUGCCUUAGAGUGGGGGAUAACUAGUCGAAAGAUUAGCUAAUACCGCAUAAGACCACAGGAGCUGCGGCUCAAGGGGUCAAAGGUUUUUCGCUCUAAGAUGAGUCCGCGUAAGAUUAGCUAGUUGGUGAGGUAACGGCUCACCAAGGCGACGAUCUCUAACUGGUCUGAGAGGAUGAUCAGUCACACUGGAACUGAGACACGGUCCAGGCUCCUACGGGAGGCAGCAGUAGGGAAUAUUGCACAAUGGAGGAAACUCUGAUGCAGCGACGCCGCGUGAGUGAUGAAGGCCUUCGGGUCGUAAAGCUCUGUCGCAGGGGAAUAACACAAUGAAGGUACCCUGUAAGAAAGGAUCGGCUAACUUCGUGCCAGCAGCCGCGGUAAAAC
rnacentral:rRNA from 1 species